rnacentral:rRNA from 1 species
UAGCUAGUUGGUAGGGUAAAGGCCUACCAAGGCGACGAUCGGUAGCUGGUCUGAGAGGAUGACCAGCCACACUGGAACUGAGACACGGUCCAGACUCCUACGGGAGGCAGCAGUGGGGAAUAUUGGACAAUGGGGGGAACCCUGAUCCAGCAAUGCCGCGUGUGUGAAGAAGGCCUGAGGGUUGUAAAGCACUUUCAGUAGGGAGGAGGUUAAUUAGGUUAAGAGCUGAAUUAAUGGACGUUACCUACAGAAGAAGCACCGGCUAACUCCGUGCCAGCAGCCGCGGUAAUACGGAGGGUGCGAGCGUUAAUCGGAAUUACUGGGCGUAAAGGGUGCGUAGGUGGUUAAUUAAGUUAUCUGUGAAAUCCCCGGGCUCAACCUGGGCAGGUCAGAUAAUACUGGUUAACUCGAGUAUGGGAGAGGGUAGUGGAAUUUCCGGUGUAGCGGUGAAAUGCGUAGAGAUCGGAAGGAACACCAGUGGCGAAGGCGGCUACCUGGCCUAAUACUGACACUGAGGCACGAAAGCGUGGGGAGCAAACAGGAUUAGAUACCCUGGUAGUCCACGCUGUAAACGAUGUCAACUAGCUGUUGGUUAUAUGAAUAUAGUUAGUGGCGC